rnacentral:lncRNA from 1 species
UAAAAAUUGCUUCCAGGGUCCGGCAAUACUGAUGUUUCUUAAAGUAAGUAAAUCGAAGGAAAACGGGUAAUUUUUAGCCAUUUAACUGCGAGAAAAAAAAUCGGCGGGGGCUGCGCUCCCUAUACCCUCUCUUAUGGGCCUCAAUCGGUGGCCCCCAAACCCCUGCCUCCCCUGAAUUUGAACCCUAGUUACGGCCCUGAUUCAAUUGUGAAAUUUAACGAGGAAAAGAUUGACGAAGGAGACAACUUUAACACAGGAGAUGGAAUCUUUGUCGUACCAGUCUCCGGGAUUUAUUUGUUUUCAUGGACUAUGCAAACGUAUAGUGGAAAAUAUGUGGAUACUGAAUUAAGGGUACAAAAUUUAGUUAAAGGAACACAACACACAUCUUUAUCAUCGUCUGCUGGAAACUUUGCAACAACACGAAAUGUACUUUGUAGUGCAAGUAAAGGUGAUCAUGUUUGGAUUCAAACUAGCAAGCACUAUUCAGAAAACACUUUAGUUGUAGCUAAUGGUGCAAGGUGUUCCUUUAUGGGAAUAUUGAUUCAUGACAUAAUUGAAAAAAGGAAUUCAUAAAGAAAAAUCAUUCGCGGUCACUAUUGGAGUCAUGUUAUUUCUUUUAUGCAGG